rnacentral:tRNA from 1 species
GCCACUGAGCAGCCAGUCGUGAGCAUCGGACUUCUAAUCCGAUGGCCGCAGGUUCGAAUCCUGCCGGGUGCG